rnacentral:rRNA from 1 species
GACGAACGCUGGCGGCGUGCCUAAUACAUGCAAGUCGAACGCACAGUUUAUACCGUAGCUUGCUACACCAUAGACUGUGAGUUGCGAACGGGUGAGUAACGCGUAGGUAACCUGCCUGGUAGCGGGGGAUAACUAUUGGAAACGAUAGCUAAUACCGCAUAAUAUUAAUUAUUGCAUGAUAAUUAAUUGAAAGGUGCAAUUGCACCACUACCAGAUGGACCUGCGUUGUAUUAGCUAGUAGGUGAGGUAACGGCUCACCUAGGCGACGAUACAUAGCCGACCUGAGAGGGUGAUCGGCCACACUGGGACUGAGACACGGCCCAGACUCCUACGGGAGGCAGCAGUAGGGAAUCUUCGGCAAUGGACGAAAGUCUGACCGAGCAACGCCGCGGGAGGGAAGAAGGUUUUCGGAUCGUAAAGCUCUGUUGUAAGAGAAGAACGGGUGUGAGAGUGGAAAGUUCACACUGUGACGGUAUCUUACCAGAAAGGGACGGCUAACUACGUG